GACGAACGCUGGCGGCGUGCUUAACACAUGCAAGUCGAACGGAAAGGCCCUGCUUUUGUGGGGUGCUCGAGUGGCGAACGGGUGAGUAACACGUGAGUAACCUGCCCUUGACUUUGGGAUAACUUCAGGAAACUGGGGCUAAUACCGGAUAGGAGCUCCUGCUGCAUGGUGGGGGUUGGAAAGUUUCGGCGGUUGGGGAUGGACUCGCGGCGUAUCAGCUUGUUGGUGGGGUAGUGGCUUACCAAGGCUUUGACGGGUAGCCGGCCUGAGCGGGUGACCGGCCACAUUGGGACUGAGAUACGGCCCAGACUCCUACGGGAGGCAGCAGUGGGGAAUAUUGCACAAUGGGCGGAAGCCUGAUGCAGCAACGCCGCGUGCGGGAUGACGGCCUUCGGGUUGUAAACCGCUUUCGCCUGUGACGAAGCGUGAGUGACGGUAAUGGGUAAAGAAGCACCGGCUAACUACGUG
rnacentral:rRNA from 1 species